rnacentral:lncRNA from 1 species
CGAUAAGUUCAAUCGAAAAUCGUUUGUCAGUCUGGUAUAAUGUCUCAAAAGAUUAGAUUUGCAGUUGAACUAAAUUGGACCGGAUAAACUAACUAAAAAUAAUGAUUUUCACAUAUAUUUGUUAAAAAUAUAAUUAAAAAAAUAAAAAUACAUUAUAAUACUAAAGAUUGAACCAGCUUGUGACUUACAUUUAGAAGAAGUAUAAUAAUUUUUUACACUUUGUCACGACCCACUCUGGGGGCCCGUGACCGGCACUAGGGAAUGGGUAGGCUUAAGGCCACCGAAACCCGUAGUAAGCCUUACCAACCCGCAAAUCCAAAUAUACAAUUAACCAAAUAUAAAAUAGUCAUAAUUGUCUUGCAUAAUACAUCAUCAAACUACCAACAAGAGUCAGAAUAGUUAUACAAAUUUUAAAAUUCCCUACUGCGGAUACUCUAGAGUAAAAAUGACAAGUAUACAAGUACAAGAUAAUUACAAAAGUCCGAAAAAGAAGAAGUCGGACUGUCGAAUGUGCGAAGGCGAAAGUCUUUAACUGUCACCUGAAAAAAAUUACAACUGAGACUGUCAGUCUCGAGAGUGAGUCAAAAUCAAAUAAUCUAAGGGCUUUUGCAACCUUCACAUGAUAUAUUAAUUAUUCAAAACAAUAUACCAAUUUCUGAAUAUAAUUGCAGUCAUAAUAUAAAAUCAUACACCAUAAUAAUAAAAUGAUAAAAGGAGAGUGUAAAUAAAUAAAGACAUUUUUACUUUCACGGGACGUGUGGCUAAGUAGAACCCUAACCCCAAAUUCUAACAGCCACUUUGGCUCUCUUAAUCCAAUAAGACUGGCGCCCCGAGAGCAAUGCUCGACCAGGGACCUUACCUCCAGUCUGGUCACUUAAAUAUCCAAAUAAGCCGGCGCCCCGAGAGCAAUGCUCGACCAGGGACCUUACCUCCGGCAAUUAACACAAAUCAGCCCAGAGAGCCAUGCUCGACCAGGGCAAACCCAUAAAUAUCUUAUUACAUGUCCAUGAUCAUUACCGGUGCGCACGCGGUCCUGAUGUAACCCAUCAGGCGGCAUGUUCUACAAGCCACAUUUCCCAAUUCGCAAUCAUCACAUAUAAUAAAUAUCAUUAUCUGAUGAACUCAACCAACACAUAUCGAAAUAAAGAUUAAAGAUUUAAGGUAAAACAACGUGCAAUUUGCGAGGGGAAAAAUAAUAACGCUUAUCUUAUUAUAACAUACUAAUAAUAAUAUUUAUAUUAUUUCAAAUAUUAAUAAUCAAGUGAAAUCAUUUAUCUUGCGAUACUAAUAAUCAUAUUAAGCACAAAUUCUAAAUAGCAUAUUAAAAUCAGACUAGCAAUAGCGCAAAGAUUAAAUGACUUUAACUCACAGAUUUGAUGCGUUCCACAGUCCGCUCCUACGCCUCGGGUGGAGCUGGCGGGAAGGCUGAAUUAUCUAAUAACAAAAGACAUACAAUUAAUAGACAUUCGAAAAUUUUUCCUAAACUUAGACCCUAAGGUCGACUGCCUAGAAUUAAAUUGGACUCGAGGAUUCUGCCGAAAAUUUGACAGAACCUCCCCUAAAUUACGGAUAUUUACCCCCCGUAAAACGGGUCCAGGACCUGCCAAAAACAUAUCAGACAUGCUGGAAUUUAAUAACAGGAGCCGGGCCACAAGAACUGCAUUAAUAUUUUCCCGACUCCAAAACACCACAAUCCAAACAAUUCAAUUUGAUUUAUUUUUAAACUACCCAACACAAGCAAUUAAUAGCCUCAAUAACUGUCUAAUAUUAUAACAAAAUUUUUCAGAGUCUAAUAAAAUUAUACCGAGUUGAAAAUUAAAAUAUUUCGCGCGUCCAGAAAACACUGGGGUCCGGAAGCCGGUCCCGCCAACAGUGUCGGAAUUCAAAUCCGGAAGCGCCUACGCGAAGCUCAAGUUGCGGAGAGUCCGGAAGGACAAGAGUUUUGGUCGGAAAGUGGCCGGAAGGCGGCGGAUCGGGGCCGGAAAGUCGCUGCUCACGCGACACCUUUCAAGGCUGCCGGCAAGGAUUUCCGACGGAGGAGGGUUGCUUCAAGGGUUUUCGGGGGUGGGGAGUCCGAUUCCGGCGCCAGAUCGCCGAAAACAAGCCGGCAAGAGGCCGAACGGCGAAGACAACUCCCUACCUUCGGCUAACGUCGGCGGAAAGGAGGAAAGGGGAAGGGGAGCUGCUGCAGAGCGGCGGGAAGGGAGGAAGGCGCUGGCGACGG